AGAGCCCCCAUGAAUGAUGAAAUAUAUUUUUUGGACAUCUCGAAGAUGUGACUGAUGAAUCGAAUCCGGCAUCGGUUUCAUGUUUUAUUACGUCGUUAUGCAAUGAUAUUUAUGGGACGAUUAAACGAAAAUAAUGUGUUAAUAAAUACCAUCCCAAGUAAUCAAAUAAAGGAAUGUGCUAAAGAACGAUUUUUUUGUGUGUACGAAAUUGUAGCUUAAAUUAACUGUAAACUUGGAAGUACUCCGUGGUUAAUCUUCCAUUCCUAAAACGGAGAUAAUAAUAAUUAGGUUUGAUGUAUACAAAGACAUAAACAAAAAAUAGAUUAUUUAGUGCUUUAUGAAUGACAGUUAUAUAAGUUAUGUGGAAUAUCAUGAAAAUAUGUAUAGAGAAACUUCCUGCUUAUGUUUCAAUCGGAAUAUUUAGUAAUCAUUCUUAAAAAAACUUGAUAAUGGUUGGAUCAAAUUACAGUCAACAGAAAAAUAUUUAAUUUUGUACUUAAGUAUCAAACAUGAAUGACUUAAGUUGUGAAAGCAGAGAGUUACUCUCUAUUAUUUUUGCUGCUGGAAUGAUUAGUAGAGCCCAUAUCCAAGUAUAUGACUUAAAUGCGACAUUUCAUUUGUUGUAUUUAAAAAUAAUACAUGUAUUAUAAUUACGAAAGAAGUCAACUAAAUACUCGAAGUGUACCCAUGUUAAUGUUAUCGUUACUGAUAAGUGGUUUAUAACGAAUCAUUACAAACGCUGCGAUUAACAGCAAAAUUCAAACAAAAAUAAAUAUCUUUUUUAAAUAUUUUUC